GUGUCAGCAGCCGCGGUAACACGUAGGGGGCGAGCGUUGUCCGGAAUCAUUGGGCGUAAAGAGCGUGUAGGCGGCCCGGUAAGUCUGCUGUGAAAUCUUGGGGCUCAACCCCAAGCUUGCAGUGGAUACUGCCGGGCUAGAGGACGGUAGAGGCGAGUGGAAUUCCCGGUGUAGCGGUGAAAUGCGCAGAUAUCGGGAGGAACACCAGUAGCGAAGGCGGCUCGCUGGGCCGUUCCUGACGCUGAGACGCGAAAGCUAGGGGAGCGAACCGGAUUAGAUACCCGGGUAGUCCUAGCCGUAAACGAUGGGCACUAGGUGUGGGGGGAGCCGAAUCUCUCCGUGCCGAAGUUAACGCGAUAAGUGCCCCGCCUGGGGAGUACGGCCGCAAGGCUAAAACUUAAAUGAAUUGGCGGGG
rnacentral:rRNA from 1 species